CAGGGAGACAACAAAAUGUUUAAUAUUAUUAUUUUGUCACCUUAGGUCGAUCGGUAUCUCACGUUCUUAAUUUAUUAAGGAUUUCAUUUCCUAAGUUUUUCUAGGUCACACCCAUUUUUUUUCCUGGGCCAUUAGCUCAGGUGGUUAGAGCGCACCCCUGAUAAGGGUGAGGUCCCUGGUUCAAGUCCAGGAUGGCCCAUAUCUCUAUGUUGGGGGUAUAGCUCAGUUGGUAGAGCGCCUGCUUUGCAAGCAGGAUGUCAGCGGUUCGAGUCCGCUUACCUCCACUGAUUACCACCUCUUCCAUAAUCUGUAGAAGGGAAAAAUUUUGAGUUGUGAACAUAGUUCUGAACGAAUCUAGCUUCCUAAUGAAACCAUUAAGACGCUGGACUCAUUGAAUUAAUUUCAUUGUUUUCAGAGAACCUUGACAACUGCAUAGAUUAUUUUUAAAGACAAUAAGCAUCUUUAAUGAUGCAGAUUUAUUAUUUGUGCAAAUGCAUUAAUAACAAUUCUAUUAAGCUGAUGCUUCAAUUUUGAAGUUAUU
rnacentral:tRNA from 1 species